GACAUACCUGAAAUGCCUCACUUCCAAAAUGCUCACAUAACCACCGCCAAUCGUCACUAGACCCGCCCAAUUUCUGUAUGGCUGGGUCACAGGAUCAAUCCCCUUCAUCUACAGCUUAUUGCAGUAUUUAUGAAGCCUACAUCGCCGAUCUCUGUAUCUAUUUGCAGCCAUUUUGAGAAUACAUGCCGUCACUUCUUCAUCGGUGCAAUUCUCGAAGUCAAUAUUAUCCUACACAGUCAUCAUACCAAAAAGCAAAUACAUGAAAUUAUUCAUAUAAUAAAAAAUUUAUUUAUAUAAUCAAAAAUAAUAUGGAUCAUGUAAUGAUAUGCAAGACAUCCAAAUUUAAUUCUUACCUUGAUGUGAGAGACUAGAGCAUCACGGUAUCGAGGAGCUACAUGCUUGAAACUUUCAGCAGCCCACGAAAAAUAAUUCCACAUAUACAAACUGAUCUCAUUUGCGACGAUACUAGCCUCUGUGCC
rnacentral:lncRNA from 1 species